rnacentral:rRNA from 1 species
UACGAAGGGGGCUAGCGUUGCUCGGAAUCACUGGGCGUAAAGGGUGCGUAGGCGGGUCUUUAAGUCAGGGGUGAAAUCCUGGAGCUCAACUCCAGAACUGCCUUUGAUACUGAGGAUCUUGAGUUCGGGAGAGGUGAGUGGAACUGCGAGUGUAGAGGUGAAAUUCGUAGAUAUUCGCAAGAACACCAGUGGCGAGGGCGGCCCACUGGCCCGAUACUGACGCUGAGGCACGAAAGCGUGGGGAGCAAACAGG